rnacentral:tRNA from 1 species
GGCGUGGUAGCUCAGUUGGUUAGAGCGUCGGAUUCAUAACCCGAAGGUCGGUUCGGGUUCGUUGACCAUGUUA